GGCCAGCAGCCGCGGUAAUACAGAGGGUGCAAGCGUUGUUCGGAAUUAUUGGGCGUAAAGCGCGUGUAGGCGGCUUGGCAAGUCGGAUGUGAAAGCCCUCGGCUUAACCGAGGAAGUGCGUUCGAAACUGCCUGGCUUGAGUACCGGAGAGGGUGGCGGAAUUCCCGGUGUAGAGGUGAAAUUCGUAGAUAUCGGGAGGAACACCAGCGGCGAAGGCGGCCACCUGGACGGAUACUGACGCUGAGACGCGAAAGCGUGGGUAGCAAACAGGAUUAGAUACCCUGGUAGUCCACGCUGUAAACGAUGAGCGCUAGGUGUUGUGGGUGUUGACCCCCGCAGUGCCGCAGCUAACGCAUUAAGCGCUCCGCCUGGGAAGUACGGCCGCAAGGCUAAAACUCAAAUAAAUUGACGG
rnacentral:rRNA from 1 species